CACGUAGGGCGCAAGCGUUGUCCGGAAUUAUUGGGCGUAAAGAGCUCGUAGGCGGUUUGUCGCGUCUGCUGUGAAAACUCGGGGCUUAACUCCGGGCCUGCAGUGGGUACGGGCAGACUAGAGUGCGGUAGGGGAGACUGGAAUUCCUGGUGUAGCGGUGAAAUGCGCAGAUAUCAGGAGGAACACCGAUGGCGAAGGCAGCUCGCUGGGACGGUACUGACGCUGAGACGACGAAAGCGUGGGGAGCAAACAGGAUUAGAACGUACCCGACGUAGUCCAAG
rnacentral:rRNA from 1 species